UACAGAGGGGGCAAGCGUUAUUCGGAAUUAUUGGGCGUAAAGGGCGCGUAGGCGGCCUGGCAAGUGGAUGGUGAAAUCCCUCGGCUUAACCGAGGAACUGCCAUCCAGACUGCUUGGCUUGAGACCGGGAGAGGUGAGUGGAAUUCCCAGUGUAGCGGUGAAAUGCGUAGAUAUUGGGAGGAACACCAGUGGCGAAGGCGGCUCACUGGACCGGACUAGUGACGCUGAGGCGCGAAAGCGUGGGGAGCAAACAGG
rnacentral:rRNA from 1 species